UAUAUGCUAUUUGCCAUUUGUGUUCAUUUUAGGGUUUGGAAAAAGGCGGCUUAAUGAAAAAAGGCGGCUUUUUUUUUUCAUCAAAGCUCUAGCUGCGCAAAAAUCCACUUCGCACACAUCGAUCCAUCAACCAAAAUCUUCGCGAGUUUCACCUUCACAGGAACAUAACCCAGGUACGUGUGUGUAUAUAUAUAUAUAUGUAUGUGUGUGUGUGUGGGGUUCAUCUCUGUUCUUCUCCGAUCUCAUCUCUGUUCUUCUCCUCUCUUCCUUGUCUGAGCUCUAACACAGGUUCCCCGCUAGUGCAAAUUGAUCUUUUGAUCAAAUUCACUAUCCGAUUCCUAAUAAAAAACAAAAAAAAUCACUAUCUUUCUUCCUCCUAAUCUCUCCCCAGUUUUCACCUCUUUUUAUCUCAAAAACCCUAGAUUUAUCUUUGUUAGAUGUGCCCUCGUCUAACAAGUUUGGUGCAAAAUCGGCCGGUCUGUUAACCUGAGCCCAAGAGGCACCUAUUGGUCUCGUUAGGUCUGAGGCUUUUCAUCUGAAUCUGCCCGGGUAGUCAGCCAAACCCAUCAACACCACCUUGAACCAUCAACAUCAUCCACUUAGCUUACCUUGCUGAUCCGUGUUUAAAUGCUAUCUCAUGAGGCGAAAGGAUGGGAUUGGGGCUCAAACUAGAUUACCCUUGUUCAGACUCCUUAAGAUACGAAGAAGCGAAGUGUUUAAAAGGAUCACAGCCAUCACAGAACAUGUUAUUUUCUCCAUCAACAAUAGAUUGAAGCCCUUAAAUCUCUGUAUCCAAGUGAAGCUGACAAGCAUUUGUUGUCUCAGCAGACUGGUUUGUCCAAAUAUCAGAUACUCAUUACCAGCUUUUUGCAUCAAAUUUGAUGUGUCAUAUUCAUAUUUAUGUGUGUGUGUAUAUAUAUAUACUGAUAAUUCUGAACUACUUUGUCUUUUUAUUUUAGCUUUUUUCUACUUUUGAUUUUGAAUUAUAUAAUAUUCGACUUGUUUUUUUAUUAACUCUAGGGGUUGUUGCUUCUUUGGGUACCUUGUGAAUGCAUCCCACGUUUCCUUUUGCAUGCACAUAGCCGUGAUAUAUAUAUAGUUGGUCAUGAAUGAAUGAGAGAGAUUAUUUUGUAUCUCUGAUAUGCAUAAUAAUAGUGAAAAUUGAAGAUAUUGAUUUGUUCUGUCUUGUUUUUUUAGAAGACACUCCUCAAGAAUUCUGAAAACCGAAUUAGACCAUUUUCUGGAAAUUGACUGUUUUUUUUUUU